UACGGGAGGCAGCAGUGGGGAAUAUUGCACAAUGGGCGAAAGCCUGAUGCAGCUAUGCCGCGUGUAUGAAGAAGGCCUUAGGGUUGUAAAGUACUUUCAUCGGGGAGGAAAAACAAAACUAAUAAUUUUAUUUCUUGACGUUACCCGAAAAAGAAGCACCGGCUAACUCCGUGCCAGCAGCCGCGGUAAUACGGAGGGUGCUAGCGUUAAUCAAAUUACUGGGCGUAAAGAGCACGUAGGUGGUUUUUUUAAGUCAGAUGUGAAAUCCCUGGGCUUAACCUGGAACUGCAUUUUGAAACUGAAAUACUAGAGUAUCGUAGAGGGAGGUAGAAUUCUAGGUGUAGCGGUGAAAUGCGUAGAUAUCUGGAGGAAUACCUGUGGCGAAAGCGGCCUCCUAAACGAAUACUGACACUGAGGUGCGGAAAGCGUGGGGAGCAAACAGGGAUUAGAUACCCGU
rnacentral:rRNA from 1 species